GGGGAAUCUUGGACAAUGGGGGCAACCCUGAUCCAGCGAUGCCGCGUGAGUGAAGAAGGCCUUUGGGUUGUAAAGCUCUUUCACCUGUGACGAUAAUGACGGUAACAGGAGAAGAAGCCCCGGCUAACUCCGUGCCAGCAGCCGCGGUAAGACGGAGGGGGCUAGCGUUGUUCGGAAUGACUGGGCGUAAAGGGCGCGUAGGCGGCCUAUGAAGUCAGACGUGAAAGCCUUGGGCUUAACCUGAGAAUUGCGUUUGAUACUGAUAGGCUAGAGGACGAGAGAGGAAAGUGGAAUUCCGAGUGUAGAGGUGAAAUUCGUAGAUAUUCGGAGGAACACCAGAGGCGAAGGCGGCUUUCUGGCUCGUACCUGACGCUGAGGCGCGAAAGCGUGGGGAGCAAAC
rnacentral:rRNA from 1 species